rnacentral:rRNA from 1 species
CUACGGGGCGCUGCAGUCAUGAAUCUUCCACAAUGCACGAAAGUGUGAUGGAGCAAUGCCGCGUGCAGGAUGAAGGCCUUAGGGUCGUAAACUGCUUUUUUCAAGGAAGAACAAAUGACGGUACUUGAAGAAUAAGAGGUUGCUAACUCUGUGCCAGCAGCAGCGGUAAUACAGAGACCUCAAGCGUUAUCCGGAUUUAUUGGGCGUAAAGAGUGCGAAGGUGGUUUAUUAAGUCAGUGGUUAAAGCCCGGAGCUCAACUCCGGAACAGCCGUUGGUACUGAUAGACUAGAGUCUGGAAGAGGCAAGCAGAAUUGCUGGUGUAGGGGUAAAAUCCGUUGAUAUCAGCAGGAAUACCAAAUGCGAAGGCAGCUUGCUAGAACAGUACUGACACUGUUGCACGAAAGCGUGGGGAGCAAAGAGGAUUAGAUACCCUCGUAGUC